GACCAUUGGUGCUGACCUUUGCCUGGUU
rnacentral:piRNA from 1 species